rnacentral:rRNA from 1 species
CGGCCGCGUCGACAUUCGAUGCAACGCGAAGAACCUUACCAGGACUUGACAUCCCGAUGCUAUUCUAGAGAUAGAAAGUUACUUCGGUACAUCGGUGACAGGUGGUGCAUGGUUGUCGUCAGCUCGUGUCGUGAGAUGUUGGGUUAAGUCCCGCAACGAGCGCAACCCCUAUUGUUAGUUGCCAUCAUUCAGUUGGGCACUCUAGCGAGACUGCCGGUAAUAAACCGGAGGAAGGUGGGGAUGACGUCAAAUCAUCAUGCCCCUUAUGACCUGGGCUACACACGUGCUACAAUGGUUGGUACAACGAGUUGCGAGUCGGUGACGGCGAGCUAAUCUCUUAAAGCCAAUCUCAGUUCGGAUUGUAGGCUGCAACUCGCCUACAUGAAGUCGGAAUCGCUAGUAAUCGCGGAUCAGCACGCCGCGGUGAAUACGUUCCCGGGCCUUGUACACACGUCGACGCGGCC